GUUUUUCUGAAAAUGGAUGGAAAGAAGGGGAGCUGUUUGUUUUUAAUGUCUUCUUUUUUUUUUUUUUAAGGAGGAGAGUCACUGUCUAAGGUCACAGAGCCAGCUCAGAGUGCUCCGCUGCUCCUGGGGUUGCAGAGGGGCUACAGAGGGGCUGCAGAGGGUAUGAGCCAAGGUGAGGCUGCAGUGAUUGAUUGUCACCUGGCAGCUGGCAGGCUCUGUGCCAGUUGGUGGUUGGCGUUUCUUGAUAACA
rnacentral:lncRNA from 1 species